UGUACAUAUAGUCAUGUUCUGCUGAUGUUGCUCUGCUGCCACCUAUCUGCUGUCUCUUGCAGUGCAUUUCUGGUCCUGACAGGGCGGAGUCGCCAGCACACACCUGACGGCAAUCCCAAUGAACUUCUUAAGCCUUGCCAGACAUUAUUUUACUCGGCACUGGUAGCAUUGUUUCACUCUGCUGGAAACGCACAAGCAACACCAUGCAGUGGUGGACCAAACCAUUUCACGUCUCUAUGGGUUUCCAGACUACAUGGAAUGGAGGAUGAGGAAGCCCAUUUGGCGUCCUUGGCUUGACCUCACCAGCAGCUGUGAGGCCCCGGUGGGGGCAAAGACCUUCCAGACAGAGUGUGAGUCACGUUUACAAGCCACAGUGGACGAGUGAAGACGACACACGGCCUGUGUGACCUUCUGCGAGCCCCCACCUCCCACCCCCAUGCCGUUGAUUGACCUUGUGUCUCAAGGUCCCGGAGUGAGGUCUGAGGGUCCAAACUUUCAAGAAGAAAAGGGUUCGGGAGUCUGUGCAGACCCAAAGUCAUCCUCAGUGCAUCAACAUGCUCCUUCAGAGGUUUGUACUCAUCGUGCAGGCGCCGGGUCGUUUCUAGCAACUUGUUCAGGUCGUUUUCAGACUGCUUGAUGGUGCUUUCCAUCUGUGCAAGCACGAAAGCACACAUAAAAUAAACAGUAUAAACAACAACAUGAAUUAUGUGGACAUGCCAGUGUUAUGACACUGCAAUUGCAUUGCCUUUAUCUAAUUUAUUUGUUUUUUACUCACAUGAAAGUAAAUGAAAAAUUCUGCUAUAAUGAGGUUUCUUCUCUGUAAUUGUGGCAUAAAACUCACCACAUUGAUAUCUGCAUGGAUUAGCCGCAGCUCUUCCACAUGCGCCAUCUUCUCCUGCAGGAGAAGAUCCAUCUCUUGCUUGUACUCUUUUAAAUGCUUCUCCUCAGAUUCCAGGGCCUCAAACUCAAUCUUCAGGCGAGACUUGAUCUUCUGCAUCUGGAUUGUUUUGUUCCUGUUGGCACAUAAAGAGAACAUAUAUGGUUAACUCGCUCAUGAAUGAAAGCUAAAAUUAAACAUUGAGUAGACAUUAAGUGCACAUGAGACAAGAGCUGUAUCUUCUUUAGCAAUGACAACAGUGCUUGGCUGUUAUGACAAUUUCCAUUCAUUUCCAUGUGGGACAUCCCCAUUUAAAAGCACUCACUGGCGGCUCUGUCUUGCUCAUGACAUACAACAAAACAAAAAAAUCAGUAUUUCUAAUCAUGCUUGUUUUUACUGUCCAUGGUUUGCUCAUUUUGUUUUGUCGCCCACAAUAUCCAUAAAAAGUACAUGCACAAGCUUCAUGGCCAAUUAUGCAAAUUAGGUGAUGACUUACCUCCUCACAAA